GGCCAUGCAGGCUCCUCCAGGCUGCUUGGUGUGGUCAGGCCGUGAGUGGUUCCAGCAGGCGGGAGCCUAUGUUGGCGCCGGAGUGGGUGCAAGUCAACCCACAUUCCAUCGCCUCCUCCUUUCUGCCCGCAGGAGCCUUCUUCUUUAUUAGGCAUCGCCCCAGCAAUCAACUCAUCUGAUCUUCACAGCAGCCCUGCAAGACACACUGGGAGGUUCUGGCCUGUGGAGGAGCCCAUCGAGGUUUGAGUGAGGGAGCCGACAAAGAAGUGAAUGCAGGAACCAUCACUGGCAACAGAAGCAAUGGUCCUCCAUGUGUCCUUACAUCACUGAAUCUUCCCAGGGGCCUUGUGAACCAUGACUGAUGCUCACCCUCAUUUGCAGAAUUGUCUUGAGCAGAAGAUCCUGGCAACACGGUGAGCACCUAGGGAUUUAGGGAAGCCACUCUAGCACUCUGGCAUUGAUUGUCCUGGCAGGAGACAGAUGACAUCAGUUACUGGAGUUCCCUGCUACAAUGGAGAUACGGCCAAGGUGAUGUGGGGCAUGCGGGAAGAGGUGCUGGGUGGGCUGGCCAAGGAGGUGGACCUUGGAGAAGAACAUACCAGGCUGUCCAGGAGACGUGGGGAAGCUUUGGAGGUGGCAUGGAGCUUGGAAAAGGGCAGACAAUUCCCUGUAUAGGAAGCACAGGCAGUUUGAAGUAAGCAGCAAGAGAUGGGGUUGGUGAGGCAGGCUGGUAGCAGGUGAAGGGGAGAGUGGGCUUCGCUCUAUGCUGAGUAGGGAGCUAUUGGAGGGCUGACGAAAUAGAGUGUCCAGCUCAGGAGUGCAUUUCAGAAAAGCUGCUCCAGCCUGGAGGGCAGUUUGCCUGUAACAAAGAGGUCUCCUUAGAGGUCCUUGGACCACCCCAGGAUCUAGGAGUAGAGCAGCGGCAAAGGGGAUGAGAAUAAGACAAAGGAUAGGUAGAAAUGCCCAUCACUGAGGGGACUUGGAGACCUACUGGAUGAGGGGACAAAUGGAAUCUGAGGUUGUGAGUUAAAACUGUGACUCUAAGGCAAUGGCAAAGAAAUUUAAAAUAAUGGGGGCUGAAGAAGUAAAAGCCCAGGUACCUGGUCCCAGGUUGGUCUAGUAGCUCCACAAACAUCAGAGCCCCAGAUUCCUCCCACCUUUUUAGUCAUACCCAGCCUUGAACAUGCGGCCCAGAAAGGCUGUUCCAACUCCCGUUGUCACAUCUGCAAUCCACUUAGUGGAAUGAAAGAAAAGAGGGAGGGGGGCGCACUCAUUCAUCUCAAAGAUAUGACUUCGAAUUCCACACAUCUCUGCUCACAUCCUAUUGGUAGAGCUUAGAGGCAAGACCAUACAUAGCUGUAAGGGAUGCUGGAAACGGUAGGCUGCCAAGUGCCCAGCUAAACAUUCUUCCAUUGUGGAACAUGGUGGGGGAUGGAGCUAUGGGAGGACAACUAGGGAGGUUGUGCAAGCCCAGUGGCCACUCUGAGCUUGAUAUUUCUCAUUUACAAAACAUAUUCCAUGAAUAGUCACACUUCCUUUUUUACCAAAUAAAUGUAAAUAUGAUCCCUUCUCUGUCAACUGCACGCUGUGUUUUCCUGGCAAGUCAGAUGUCCCUAUUUGGAGACAGCUUUCCCAGCCAUUGAAGGAGACAUUGGAAAAUAUCCUCAACAUGGACUUUACGGGGCUUACA
rnacentral:lncRNA from 1 species